GUACGGAAGGCAGCAGUGAAGAAUAUUGGGCAAUGGGCGAAAGCCUGACCCAGCAACGCCGCGUGAAGGAAGAAGGUCUUCGGAUUGUAAACUUCUGUCCCAUGGGACGAACACAAUGACGGUACCAUGGGAGGAAGCCCCGGCUAACUACGUGCCAGCAGCCGCGGUAAUACGUAGGGGGCAAGCGUUGUCCGGAAUUAUUGGGCGUAAAGGGUGCGUAGGCGGCCUUUCAAGUCGGAUGUGAAAUCCCCGUGCUUAACAUGGGAAUUGCAUUCGAAACUGGAGGGCUUGAGUGUGGAAGAGGUAAGUGGAAUUCCCAGUGUAGCGGUGAAAUGCGUAGAUAUUGGGAGGAACACCAGUGGCGAAGGCGACUUACUGGGCCACAACUGACGCUGAGGCACGAAAGCGUGGGGAGCAAACAGGAUUAGAUACCCCGGUAGG
rnacentral:rRNA from 1 species